rnacentral:rRNA from 2 species
AAGGCUCAGUAUAACAGCUAUUAUUUAUUUGAUCGUAAACAUAGUUACUUGGAUAACUGUGGUAAUUCCAGAGCUAAUACAUGCAAACAACAUGGAUCCCUGUAGCAAUAUGGGUGAAACAUGUGCUUUUAUUAGAUUAAAACCAUGUCCAUCUUUGAUGGAUUUGUUUUAGAUGAAUCUGGAUAAUUAUGGCUGAUCGUAUGGUCUUGCACCGACGAUAGAUCAUUCAAAUGUCUGCCCUAUCAACUAUUGAUGGUAGUAUAGAGGACUACCAUGGUUGCAACGGGUAACGGGGAAUCAGGGUUCGA